rnacentral:snRNA from 1 species
AGGGGAUACUCUUAUCUCAGCAACCCUUAGAUGCUAAAAUUGGAAUGACACAGAGAUUAGCACGGCCCUGUACAAGGAAGACACACACUUUUGUGAAACGUUUCAUAUUUUG